rnacentral:rRNA from 1 species
UGGGGAAUAUUGCACAAUGGGGGAAACCCUGAUGCAGCAACGCCGCGUGAGUGAAGAAGCUAUUUCGGUGACGUAAAGCUCUGUCAGCGGGGGAAAGAAAGAAGACGGUACCCGACCAAGAAGCCCCGG